AUGUUGAGUAUGAAAAAAGUCCUAGUCUCUCAUAUCAAUAGUUAUAUUGAAUCGGAGUUAAUAGCUGUUCAUCAUGAGGAAAAUUAUGAGUCCCAACUCAAAUGUAUGAAGAUAAGUUUGUAAAAUUAGGUACCCAGCUUUUGUGCCAUGAAAUGGAUCACACAUAAUGAAAAAAUGUUUUUGAUGUUCUUACUUCAUGUAGUAGAUCUUAGAUUUAUUUUGUGUCACUAGCUUGUAUCAUGCCUCUCAGGUAAUGUUUUAUUAUAAGACUUCGUUUCCAAUAUGAAUUAAUAGGAGAAACAUCAUGGGAAAAUAUACAUUGACUUAACCUAUGGUGGUGGCAUUCUUUAAAUACAUAUCACAUAUAAUUUCAUUAUUUGUCCAUUCAAAAUUAACUUAGUAAUGUCCGUUUGAAUGAUGGGGACAUUUCCUUUGCAAGUCGACACAUCCUUCAAAUACGAAGACGAAAAACAAACGUCACUGGACAGUUGAGAAUCUGAUGCUGCUAGCUUCUCUGUUGAGACAUGAAAACAAAGGAAAGAGCCUCCAAGAGGCUGUGAAAUACCACUAAGUUUGUAAAGGAUAAGACUUGAGAAAGGAGCCGACACAUCCUGGAAUUUGAUGACAAACACAGACUUGUCCAUUUAAGAAUAUCAACAGAAUGCACAGAGGAAACGGAAAAGGGUCAGGUAAAAACCUGGCACAAAGGAAUCUCCCAGGAAUCUACAAGGAUGUCCCCAGCCUAGACACCUGGCAAUAACGAAGAAGUAGCGUGAACUGUGAACUGCCUUCUAUGACCACCCUGGUGCCCGUCUGACUCAAUUGUCGUCAGAGAGGCUUCAUCCAGCAACUGAUGGAAACAAAUGCAGAUCUACAGCCAUAUAUUAGGUGGAAUUUGGGGAAUCCUGCAGAAGAGGGGGAAAAGGAUUGUAGGAGCCAGAGGGGUCAAGGACA